rnacentral:rRNA from 1 species
UACGUAGGGUGCAAGCGUUGUCCGGAAUUAUUGGGCGUAAAGAGCUCGUAGGCGGUCUGUCGCGUCGGCUGUGAAAUCCCGAGGCUCAACCUCGGGUCUGCAGUCGAUACGGGCAAACUAGAGUAUUGCAGGGGAGACUGGAAUUCCUGGUGUAGCGGUGAAACGCGCAGAUAUCAGGAGGAACACCGGUGGCGAAGGCGGGUCUCUGGGCAAUAACUGACGCUGAGGAGCGAAAGCGUGGGGAGCGAACAGG